GAGUUUUCUUUUUCAUUAAAUAUAUAAAUGAUCCUCGAAUUUAAGUACCUGUCUUUCAAUUAAUUUCAAUUAGAAAACAUUCUCCGGUAGACCAGGGAAUCCAUCAACAUCUUCAAAAUAAUGUUUUUCUUUAAUCAUUCAAAAAUCGAUUUCAAAUCCGAGUGAACGUUCUGAUUUUUAUGCAACUCCAAUCGCCUCCCUGUGGAUCGACCUCUUACGACCGCUAUUCUUCGAGUAGAACA
rnacentral:lncRNA from 1 species